CAGUAGCCGCGGGAAUACGUAGGGUGCAAGCGUUAAUCGGAAUUACUGGGCGUAAAGCGUGCGCAGGCGGUUAUAUAAGACAGAUGUGAAAUCCCCGGGCUCAACCUGGGAACUGCAUUUGUGACUGUAUAGCUAGAGUACGGCAGAGGGGGAUGGAAUUCCGCGUGUAGCAGUGAAAUGCGUAGAUAUGCGGAGGAACACCGAUGGCGAAGGCAAUCCCCUGGGCCUGUACUGACGCUCAUGCACGAAAGCGUGGGGAGCAAACAGGAUUAGAUACCCCUGUAGUCCCUGUCUCUCAUAC
rnacentral:rRNA from 1 species